UACGUAGGGUGCGAGCGUUGUCCGGAAUUAUUGGGCGUAAAGAGCUCGUAGGCGGCUUGUUGCGUCGACCGUGAAAACCCGGGGCUCAACUUCGGGCUUGCGGUCGAUACGGGCGGGCUAGAGUUCGGUAGGGGAGACUGGAAUUCCUGGUGUAGCGGUGAAAUGCGCAGAUAUCAGGAGGAACGCCGGUGGCGAAGGCGGGUCUCUGGGCCGAUACUGACGCUGAGGAGCGAAAGCGUGGGGAGCGAACAGG
rnacentral:rRNA from 1 species